GAGUUUGAUCCUGGCUCAGGAUGAACGCUAGCGGGAGGCCUAACACAUGCAAGCCGAGGGGUAAGAUAGCUUGCUAUUUAGACCGGCGCACGGGUGCGUAACGCGUAUGCAACUUGCCCUACUGAAGAGGAUAGCCCAGAGAAAUUUGGAUUAAUACUUUAUAAUAGAUUAUGGCAUCAUUAGUUUUGAAAGAUUUAUCGCAGUAGGAUAGGCAUGCGUAAGAUUAGUUAGUUGGUAAGGUAACGGCUUACCAAGACGAUGAUCUUUAGGGGGCCUGAGAGGGUGAACCCCCACACUGGUACUGAGACACGGACCAGACUCCUACGGGAGGCAGCAGUGAGGAAUAUUGGACAAUGGGUGAAAGCCUGAUCCAGCCAUCCCGCGUGUAGGAUGACUGCCUUUGGGUUGUAAACUACUUUUAUCUGGGGAUAAACCUACUCACGUGUGAGUAGCUGAAGGUACCAGAAGAAUAAGCACCGGCUAACUCCGUGCCAGCAGCCGCGGUAAUACGGAGGGUGCAAGCGUUAUCCGGAUUUAUUGGGUUUAAAGGGUCCGUAGGCGGAUUAAUCAGUCAGUGGUGAAAUCCCUUAGCUUAACUAAGGAACUGCCAUUGAUACUGUUAGUCUUGAGUGAGGUUGCAGUGGCUGGAAUGUGUAGUGUAGCGGUGAAAUGCUUAGAUAUUACGCAGAACACCAAUUGCGAAGGCAGGUCACUAAGCCUCAACUGACGCUGAUGGACGANAGCGUGGGGAGCGAACAGGAUUAGAUACCCUGGUAGUCCACGCCGUANACGAUGGAUACUUGCUGUUGGAUUUUCGGAUUC
rnacentral:rRNA from 1 species